GUGCCAGCCGCCGCGGUAAGACAGAGGGUGCAAACGUUGUUCGGAAUUACUGGGCGUAAAGCGCGUGUAGGCGGCUUGGCAAGUCGGGUGUGAAAGCCCUGGGCUCAACCUAGGAAGUGCACUCGAAACUGCCUCGCUGGAGUGCCGGAGAGGAAAGCGGAAUUCUCGGUGUAGAGGUGAAAUUCGUAGAUAUCGAGAGGAACACCGGUGGCGAAGGCGGCUUUCUGGACGGUUACUGACGCUGAGACGCGAAAGCGUGGGGAGCAAACAGGAUUAGAUACCCCUGUAGUCC
rnacentral:rRNA from 1 species